CGAUUUAAUAUCGCGGAUGACAUGGCAAUCCGCGAUAUUAAAUCGCGGAUGACGUGGUCCCAGGUACAAAUGUGGAAUUAAUUUCCACACAGGCACUAAAAUGGAAUUUUUAAAAGCCCGUAGGCACGGAUCCGUCAAAAACCCCGUUGUCUUUAACCGCAUUUUUUCCUAAUUCCACCGUUUCGUCGUCGAGAUUCAAUUUUCAUAAACUCAAGCAAAACAGAGGAAUUAAGUAGAGAGAGAGUGUUCAAUACAACAGUUGUUCUUCGCUUUCCAUGGAAACCAUGCCCGCCGAUUACUUCUCAAAAUCAGCCUCUUUCACAAAAAUCGGAUAUCUUCUCAGAGGUAACCGGUUUUUGCCAUCGACCGCCUCCAUCGCCUGUGCCUCAGAAAGGGAAAUAUAUGAAUUUUAAUAGUUCAUCCGCCGCUGCUUACCACCCCUUUCCGUCAUCGCUCGUUGCCCAUCUCUACUGCCACUCGACAACCAUCUCUAUCGUCGCCUGCGUCUGGAUCGUCGAGGCUUAACCCUUCCUUCGCCGAUGUCCUUAUUUUCUAGAGAAGGGAUUGGCCGCCGUUGUUGCUUCUCCGGUAGCCUCUGUCGUCUCUAUUGUGUCCCGUCUUAGCUGCUCGUCUGAUAGUUGCUGCUGCGCCAUUGCUUCUCCUUUGUGAUAAUCACUGGAUGCUCAAGAGUGUGGAGAUCAGUUAAGGCUGAGAAAGGCUCUAUCAAUUCAAUCGAACCGAAGUCAGACUGCUUGAACAAGAACAUUGUUGGUAGUUGGUACUAACAUAAGGUAAGUAUUUCGUUUUCUAUUAAUAUCAAUUUGUGAUUCCCUUCGCUUCGGAUGACAGUCGGUGGUUAUGUCUUGUGUUGAUGUUUGUAUAUUCUUUACUUGAUUUUAAUGCCCUGUAAAUGAGCCAUCUUUUAUGCUUAAAUUCUUAACGUUGUCACAUGAUUUAUGGACAAAUAAAUAAAAAUAGCAUAACCAAAUAAGAAUGUGUAUAGUAAUUGAUGAUAAUGGUAGAAUAAUGCCAAUGCUAGUGAAUACAAAAAGGUGAAUGAAAUAAGUGUUUUGGGUGAUAUACUUAUUAAAUUUUUACUGUUAUGCUGGAUGCUUGGUGGAUACAAAUUGGUGCUCCUUUGUCUCCGUUUUCUCCUGUGCUGGUUGCUUAUUGCUUUCUGCUGCUUUUUCUCUGUUUUUGUCUGUCUGAGUCUUAACUGUUACUGUUAUAGCUGCUGAAUUCUCCCUUUUUUUUACUCCCUUCUUUCUUGCUGCUGUCUAUUUUCUAAUCUCUGCUAUAUUUUUGCCUCUUCCUAUUAUGUUUAUUUUUGGAGAAUCUCUCCAAUUUUCUCUGUUUUCAGCAGCAUUUCCGCUAUGUUUUUCUCUGUUUUCAGCAGCAUUUCCGCUAUGUUUAUCGAUUCUAUUAUCAUUGUAUUAAUGAAUUUUGUUGUUGUCGUUGUUGUAGUUCAAUUUUAGAUAAGUUGAUAAUUCUAGUUUGUAUAUUUGCUUCAUUGUAACACUUUUAGUUGAAUGUUUCAAAAUAAUAAAAAUCAAUAUGUUUUAUUUGAGAA